UGCCCGAAAGGGUGACGAAGCGACGCCGCGUGGGUGAGGAAGGCCUUCGGGUUGUAAAGCCCUGUCAGGAGUUAAGAAAUGUAGACUCGCUAAUAUCGGGUCUAUUUGACAAAGGCUCCAAAGGAAGCCACGGCUAACUCUGUGCCAGCAGCCGCGGUAAUACAGAGGUGGCAAGCGUUGUUCGGAAUUAUUGGGCGUAAAGAGCACGUAGGUGGAUUUGUAAGUCAGACGUGAAAGCCUUCUGUUCAACGGAAGAAUUGCAUCUGAAACUACAAACCUUGAGUGUAGGAGGGGGGAAUGGAACUUCUGGUGGAGCGGUGAAAUGCGUAGAUACCAGAAGGAACGCCGGCGGCGAAAGCGAUUCUCUGGCCUAUUACUGACACUCAGUGUGCGAAAGCUAGGGGAGCAAACGGGAUUAGAUACCCCGGUAGUCCUAGCCGUAAACGAUGGGCACUAAGUAGAGGGG
rnacentral:rRNA from 1 species